rnacentral:lncRNA from 1 species
AAAAGAAAGGGCAAAGGGGGCAAAGAGAAAUAGAAAACAAGGAGCUAGAAUUGCAGUUUCAGCAGGUGAGUUUAACUCACGGUUUUGACGUUUUUCUUUAGUUCUUUUGGGUGUUGUAUAAACCUGUUGAAACUCUGAACUCGCUUGAGAUUAGGUGGGAGGUUGUUGAUGACUUUAUGAUGGCAAAAUAGGGGCAAUUAAUUACAAACCUAGACAGAGAUGUAGAUUGCCAAAUUUGAAUGGUUUCAACCUUGAUUUUGGAUGAUAGUUAAAGUAUAACCUACAUCUAUCAAUAUGAAUGCUUUUAUAUGCAAGAAGAAGUAUAGAAAUGAUUUUUAAUGGCCAAGAAUCUUAUUGGUGGCAUACUAAUACAAUAAAAGCAGAAAACCAUCACAGGGAAACUGUCUAAUUUGGUGUUGUGAAAAAGGGACUAUUUUUGAAGUAGCAAAACCUUCGUUUGUCACAAGUUUAUGAUAUGAUUACCUUCGCAUACAUGUUAUAGAAGUGUCGUAAAAAUUCGAGAGUCACUGGAUAUAGUUAAGGGUGUGAAAAAUGAUUGAAAAAAUAAUUGGACGGUUAUGAAAACCUGGAAACAGAAUCUAUCAAUUUGCAUGUUUAAUACAGUUUCAACCUUUACAUGUCCAUUAAUUAUUUCUUGAGCCUAGAAAAUAGAUUCUGAAGAGUGCUUACAAUCAUAAAUAAUUGAGAACAAUUGAAUGAUAUUGACUUUCAUAAUUGGACUCGAGAAAUAGCGAGAUUUAUAGGACUACAUCGGUAACUUGAAAUGAUGAUGUCGUCUAAAUUAUUUUGGCGUGAAUGGACGUAUUUUGGGAUUGUGUGUGUUUAAGGUUAUUAAAUCUAGCAUGCACAACAUGAUUUUCAAUUGACUUUUUAUCUCAUAAAUGUUUUGUUGACCACUACUAGGGUACUGAGACAUGUGAGACAUGCUGGUAUAAUAUAUUUUUCCAUCACGGGUGAUUGCAAAGGUAAAUAGGGGACCACUCAACUGUAUCCUUGUGGUGUUAUGAUUAUUGGUGCUGUCGAGUGGGAUACUUUUUGGGUGAUCAUAGGGACGGUUAGGGGAUGGACCUCUAGUGGUCUUAAGAGGGUGGUCCACUCCCCAGUGUCGAUUUCAUAUUAGCUAUUUGAUUAUUGAUAUUAAUAUUGAUAUUGUAUAGAACUCUAUCCGGUGCAUAAUAGGUGGGUCAAAGACUUAAUAAAAGAUUUCAAAUGAAGUUAUUUUGAGUUGAAUUUGACGAAUACUUGAAUAUGAUGUAUCUUUAGCAUAAUGUCUAAAGUAAAUGGCAUAGUGUCAUAUAUUAUUGUUAUUCAUGCUCAUGACAUGCAAGAUUUUUUCUUAUUGAGCAUUAGCUUAUGUAGGUAGGAACGGUAGUUGGGCUUAUCGGCUCGAGUCGCCCAUGGCUCGACCCGAAAAAAGCCCGAGAAGCAAGAGAGCAUAAUUGGAGAAUCAAAAGAGAAAUUCAUCGGAGGAAAACAUCAAGCAAUUGAAAGUUUAACACAUUGAUUGGAAGAGGAAGGAGACCUUGGUGAAAUAAUUCCACUUUUUCUUCUACUUCUUUACUACAAAUCCGAUGAUGUAUUAUAAGACAAAUGAUUGUUUUUCUUCCUUCAUUAUGAAUAGUUAAAUUCACUAUUAGGGCAAAUAAUGUAACCAAUUGAAAUCUUUUAUAUUUUCUUAUUAAGAUUCUUGAUUUUUACUGUUUCG